rnacentral:rRNA from 1 species
UGUUUAAAAUAAAUAGCCGCAGUAUUUUGACUGUGCUAAGGUAGCAUAAUCAUUAGUCUCUUAAUUGGAGGCUGGUAUGAAUGGUGAGACGAGAAAAAAUCUGUCUCUAAUAAAAAUAUUGAAUUUUAUUUUUAAGUGAAAAAGCUUAAAUUUGUUUGGAGGACGAUCAGACCCUUUGGAGCUUUAUUUUUAAACUAAAUUAAGUUUAUUGGAAAUAAUUAAUUUAGUUUAAAAAUUUUGUUGGGGCGACAGAGAGUAAAAAUAUCACUCUUUUUUAUUAACAGUAAUAAUUGAACAGAUGAUCCUUAUAUGAGAGAUUAAAAGACUAAGUUACCCUAGGGAUAACAGCGUAAUCUUCUUAGAGAGUUCUUAUCGAUAAGAAGGUUUGCGACCUCGAUGUUGGAUUAAGAAAUUAGCAGGGUGCAGAAGCUUUGCUGGAAAGUCUGUUCGACUUUUAACAUCUUACAU